UACGAAGGGUGCAAGCGUUAAUCGGAAUUACUGGGCGUAAAGCGUGCGUAGGCGGUUUGUUAAGUCUGUUGUGAAAUCCCCGGGCUCAACCUGGGAAUGGCAAUGGAUACUGGCAGGCUAGAGUGUGUCAGAGGAUGGUGGAAUUCCCGGUGUAGCGGUGAAAUGCGUAGAGAUCGGGAGGAACAUCAGUGGCGAAGGCGGCUCACUGGGCUGACCUUGACGCUGAGGCGCGAAGGCGUGGGGAGCGAACGGG
rnacentral:rRNA from 1 species